rnacentral:rRNA from 1 species
CAGGUCGAACGAGGUGCUUUUGUAGCAAUACGAGAGUAUCCUAGUGGCGAACGGGUGAGUAACGCGUUGGUGACCUACCCCAAAGUGUGGGAUAACAGUCCGAAAGGAUUGCUAAUACCGCAUGUGGUCAUUGGAUUUAGAAACUGAUGACUAAAGGAGCAAUUCGCUUUGGGAGGGACCUGCGUCCCAUCAGCUAGUUGGUGAGGUAAUGGCUCACCAAGGCGACGACGGGUAGGGGACCUGAGAGGGUGGCCCCCCACAAUGGAACUGAAACACGGUCCAUACACCUACGGGUGGCAGCAGUAGGGAAUAUUGCACAAUGGGCGAAAGCCUGAUGCAGCAACGCCGCGUGUGUGAUGAAGGCCUUCGGGUCGUAAAGCACUUUUCUGGGAGAUGAGAAAGGACAGUAUCCCAGGAAUAAGUCUCGGCUAACUACGUGCCAGCAGCCGCGGUAAAACGUAGGAGGCAAGCGUUAUCCGGAUUCACUGGGCGUAAAGCGCGUGCAGGUGGCGCGGUAAGUUAGGCGUGAAAUCUCCCGGCUCAACUGGGAGAGGUCGUCUAAUACUACCGUGCUUGAGAGCAGAAGAGGAAGAUGGAAUUCCCGGUGUAGUGGUGAAAUGCGUAGAUAUCGGGAGGAACACCAGUGGCGAAGGCGAUCUUCUGGUCUGUUUCUGACACUCAGACGCGACAGCUAGGGUAGUAAACGGGAUUAGAGACCCCGGUAAUCCUAGCCGUAAACGAUGUGAACUUGGCGUUGGUGGGGUUAAACUCCAUCAGUGCCGUAGCAAACGCGAUAAGUUCACCGCCUGGGGACUACGGCCGCAGGGUUAAAACUCAAAGGAAUUGACGGGGGGCCCGCAC